UACGUAGGGGGCUAGCGUUGUCCGGAUUUAUUGGGCGUAAAGAGCGUGUAGGCGGCCACGCAGGUCCGUUGUGAAAACUGGAGGCUCAACCUCCAGACGUCGACGGAAACCGUAUGGCUAGAGUCCGGAAGAGGAGAGUGGAAUUCCUGGUGUAGCGGUGAAAUGCGCAGAUAUCAGGAAGAACACCAAUGGCGAAGGCAGCUCUCUGGGACGGUACUGACGCUGAGACGCGAAAGCGUGGGGAGCGAACAGG
rnacentral:rRNA from 1 species